UACCAGCACCCCGAGUGGUCGGGACGAUUAUUGGGCCUAAAGCAUCCGUAGCCGGCCUUACAAGUCCUCCGUUAAAUCCAGCUGCUUAACAGAUGGGCUGCGGAGGAUACUAUAAGACUAGGAGGCAGGAGAGGCAAGCGGUACUCAGUGGGUAGGGGUAAAAUCCGUUGAUCCAUUGAAGACCACCAGUGGCGAAGGCGGCUUGCCAGAAUGCGCUCGACGGUGAGGGAUGAAAGCUGGGGGAGCAGACCGG
rnacentral:rRNA from 1 species